rnacentral:rRNA from 1 species
AUCUUUUAGAUGACGAAGUGGUUGAUGCCAUGCUUCCAAGAAAAGCUUCUAAGCUUCAGGUAACCAGGAACCGUACCCCAAACCGACACAGGUGGUUGGGUAGAGAAUACCAAGGCGCUUGAGAGAACUCGGGUGAAGGAACUAGGCAAAAUGGCACCGUAACUUCGGGAGAAGGUGCGCCGGUGAGGGUGAAGGACUUGCUCCGUAAGCUCAUGCCGGUCGAAGAUACCAGGCCGCUGCGACUGUUUAUUAAAAACACAGCACUCUGCAAACACGAAAGUGGACGUAUAGGGUGUGACGCCUGCCCGGUGCCGGAAGGUUAAUUGAUGGGGUUAGCUAACGCGAAGCUCUUGAUCGAAGCCCCGGUAAACGGCGGCCGUAACUAUAACGGUCCUAAGGUAGCGAAAUUCCUUGUCGGGUAAGUUCCGACCUGCACGAAUGGCGUAACGAUGGCGGCGCUGUCUCCACCCGAGACUCAGUGAAAUUGAAAUCGCUGUGAAGAUGCAGUGUAUCCGCGGCUAGACGGAAAGACCCCGUGAACCUUUACUAUAGCUUUGCACUGGACUUUGAAUUUGCUUGUGUAGGAUAGGUGGGAGGCUUUGAAGCGUGGACGCCAGUUCGCGUGGAGCCAACCUUGAAAUACCACCCUGGCAACUUUGAGGUUCUAACUCAGGUCCGUUAUCCGGAUCGAGGACAGUGUAUGGUGGGUAGUUUGACUGGGGCGGUCUCCUCCUAAAGAGUAACGGAGGAGUACGAAGGUGCGCUCAGACCGGUCGGAAAUCGGUCGUAGAGUAUAAAGGCAAAAGCGCGCUUGACUGCGAGACAGACACGUCGAGCAGGUACGAAAGUAGGUCUUAGUGAUCCGGUGGUUCUGUAUGGAAGGGCCAUCGCUCAACGGAUAAAAGGUACUCCGGGGAUAACAGGCUGAUACCGCCCAAGAGUUCAUAUCGACGGCGGUGUUUGGCACCUCGAUGUCGGCUCAUCACAUCCUGGGGCUGAAGCCGGUCCCAAGGGUAUGGCUGUUCGCCAUUUAAAGUGGUACGCGAGCUGGGUUUAGAACGUCGUGAGACAGUUCGGUCCCUAUCUGCCGUGGACGUUUGAGAUUUGAGAGGGGCUGCUCCUAGUACGAGAGGACCGGAGUGGACGAACCUCUGGUGUUCCGGUUGUCACGCCAGUGGCAUUGCCGGGUAGCUAUGUUCGGAAUAGAUAACCGCUGAAAGCAUCUAAGCGGGAAACUAGCCUCAAGAUGAGAUCUCACUGGGACCUUGAGUCCC